rnacentral:rRNA from 1 species
GUGGGGAAUAUUGGUCAAUGGACGAAAGUCUGAACCAGCCAUGCCGCGUGAAGGUUGAAGGCCCUCUGGGUUGUAAACUUCUUUUAUCUGGGACGAAAAAAGGGUAUUCUUACUCACUUGACGGUACCAGAGGAAUAAGCACCGGCUAACUCCGUGCCAGCAGCCGCGGUAAUACGGAGGGUGCAAGCGUUAUCCGGAUUCACUGGGUUUAAAGGGUGCGUAGGUGGGUAUUUAAGUCAGUGGUGAAAUCUCCGAGCUUAACUCGGAAACUGCCAUUGAUACUAUUUACCUUGAAUGCCCUGGAGGUAAGCGGAAUAUGUCAUGUAGCGGUGAAAUGCUUAGAUAUGACAUAGAACACCAAUUGCGAAGGCAGCUUACUACGGGGUGAUUGACACUGAGGCACGAAAGCGUGGGGAGCAAACAGGAUUAGAUACCCCUGUAGUCC